rnacentral:rRNA from 1 species
GACGAACGCUGGCGGCGUGCUUAACACAUGCAAGUCGAACGGUGACGGAGAGCUUGCUCUCCUGAUCAGUGGCGAACGGGUGAGUAACACGUGGGCAACCUGCCCCAGACUCCGGGAUAACGCUUCGAAAGAGGUGCUAAUACCGAAUACGAACGCCGUGGGCAUCCACGGUGUUGGAAAGUUUUUCGGUCUGGGAUGGGCCCGCGGCCUAUCAGCUUGUUGGUGAGGUAAUGGCUCACCAAGGCGACGACGGGUAGCCGGCCUGAGAGGGCGACCGGCCACACUGGGACUGAGACACGGCCCAGACUCCUACGGGAGGCAGCAGUGGGGAAUAUUGCGCAAUGGGCGAAAGCCUGACGCAGCAACGCCGCGUGGGGGAUGAAGGCCUUCGGGUUGUAAACCUCUUUCAGCAGGGAAGAAGCGAAAGUGACGGUACCUGCAGAAGAAGCACCGGCUAACUACGUGCCAGCCGCCGCCGUAAAAC